CUUUUACUUUAAACGCCUUGAUAGACGCAGCAGCGUUAAAUCCUUGAGUCACUCUAAAAUUAGCCCCGUCUGGCACGGAAAAAGUACAAAAUGUACAACUUCGCAAUCACACCUUCCACCGAAAUGGCCGACAUGCCGCGUGUAUUGUCACUGAAGGCAUCAAAACUAUGACACCUGUGAAGUGAAAACAAUUUCAGGUGACUAACUCUUGAUGUCAAAACGUGGACUUUGGAGUUUGUUUUCCCAUGGUGCAAAGGAAAGUUGGCGCAGGCAAGGCGUGAAUGAGUCGUUUGGUCUGAAGCUACAACCACCACCCUUGUUUGCUAUUUACUGGAUGUACGAAUCUCAUAAGCUGCUCCUGUCACACAGCACUACACUCCAAGGAGAAGUAAUAACAUUUUCCGAUAUAAAUGACU